rnacentral:rRNA from 1 species
GCUCACCAGGGGACGAUCCGUAACUGGUCUGAGAGGAUGAUCAGUCACACUGGAACUGAGACACGGGUCCAGACUCCUACGGGAGGCAGCAGUGGGGAAUAUUGGACAAUGGGCGAAAGACCUGAUCCAGCCAUGCCGCGUGUGUGAAGAAGGUCUUCGGAUUGUAAAGCACUUUAAGUUGGGAGGAAGGGUUGUAGAUUAAUACUCUGCGAUUUUGACGUUACCGACAGAAUAAGCACCGGCUAACUCUGUGCCAGCAGCCGCGGUAAUACAGAGGGUGCAAGCGUUAAUCGGAAUUACUGGGCGUAAAGCGCGCGUAGGUGGUUAGUUAAGUUGGAUGUGAAAUCCCCGGGCUCAACCUGGGAACUGCAUUCAAAACUGACUGACUAGAGUAUGGUAGAGGGUGGUGGAAUUUCCUGUGUAGCGGUGAAAUGCGUAGAUAUAGGAAGGAACACCAGUGGCGAAGGCGACCACCUGGACUGAUACUGACACUGAGGUGCGAAAGCGUGGGGAGCCAACAGGA